AUUGAACGCUGGCGGCAUGCUUUUCACAUGCAAGUCGAACGGCAGCGCGGGCUUCGGCCUGGCGGCGAGUGGCGAACGGGUGAGUAAUACAUCGGAACGUGCCCAGUAGUGGGGGAUAGCUCGGCGAAAGCCGGAUUAAUACCGCAUACGACCUGAGGGUGAAAGCGGGGGAUCUUCGGACCUCGCGCUAUUGGAGCGGCCGAUGGCAGAUUAGCUAGUUGGUGGGGUAAAGGCCUACCAAGGCGACGAUCUGUAGCUGGUCUGAGAGGACGACCAGCCACACUGGGACUGAGACACGGCCCAGACUCCUGCGGGAGGCAGCAGUGGGGAAUUUUGGACAAUGGGCGAAAGCCUGAUCCAGCAAUGCCGCGUGUGUGAUGAAGGCCUUCGGGUUGUAAAGCACUCUUGGCGGGAACGAAAGGGACUGUGCCAAUACCACGGUUCCGAUGACGGACCCGCAGAAUAAGCCCCGCAUU
rnacentral:rRNA from 1 species